UAACGCGUGAGGAACCUGCCUCAAAGAGGGGGACAACAGUUGGAAACGACUGCUAAUACCGCAUAAGCCCACAGCUCGGCAUCGAGCAGAGGGAAAAGGAGUGAUCCGCUUUGAGAUGGCCUCGCGUCCGAUUAGCUAGUUGGUGAGGUAAUGGCCCACCAAGGCGACGAUCGGUAGCCGGACUGAGAGGUUGAACGGCCAUAUUGGGACUGAGACACGGCCCAG
rnacentral:rRNA from 1 species